rnacentral:rRNA from 1 species
UGAGUAACCUGCCCUUAACUCUGGGAUAAACCUGGGAAACUGGGUCUAAUACCGGAUAUGACUCCUCAUCGCAUGGUGGGGGGUGGAAAGCUUUUUGUGGUUUUGGAUGGACUCGCGGCCUAUCAGCUAGUUGGUGAGGUAACGGCUCACCAAGGCAACGAUGCCUAGCCGACCUGAGAGGGUGAUCGGCCACAUUGGAACUGAGACACGGUCCAGACUCCGUACGGGAGCAG